AAUAGGCUAAUUAAGAGCGUAAGGGGAAUGCCUUGGCUCUCAGAGGCGAUGAAGGACGUGAUAAGCUGCGAUAAGCUUUGGGGAGUGGCACAAACACUUUGAUCCGAAGAUUUCCGAAUGGGGCAACCCGGCAUAUUGAAGAUAUGUCACACUGUAAAGUGAGCAAACCUGGUGAACUGAAACAUCUAAGUAACCAGAGGAAUAGAAGACAAAAGUGAUUCCGCUAGUAGUGGCGAGCGAACGUGGAACAGCCCAAACCUAUGUUGUUACGGCAAUAUAGGGGUUGUAGGACCUCAACAUUUAAUGCUAAAAGAACUAGAAUUUACUGGAAAGUAAAACC
rnacentral:rRNA from 1 species